rnacentral:rRNA from 1 species
AACGAACGCUGGCGGCAUGCCUAACACAUGCAAGUCGAACGAGACCUUCGGGUCUAGUGGCGCACGGGUGCGUAACGCGUGGGGACCUGCCCUUAGGUUCGGAAUAACUCCCCGAAAGGGGUGCUAAUACCGGAUAAUGUCUUCGGACCAAAGAUUUAUCGCCUUUGGAUGGGCCCGCGUUGGAUUAGCUAGUUGGUAGGGUAAAAGCCUACCAGGGCGACGAUCCAUAGCCGGUCUGAGAGGAUGAUCAGCCACACUGGGACUGAGACACGGCCCAGACUCCUACGGGAGGCAGCAGUGGGGAAUAUUGGACAAUGGGCGAAAGCCUGAUCCAGCAAUGCCGCGUGAGUGAUGAAGGCCUUAGGGUUGUAAAGCUCUUUUACCCGGGAUGAUAAUGACAGUACCGGGAGAAUAAGCUCCGGCUAACUCCGUG